rnacentral:rRNA from 1 species
UCGAACGAACUCUUCGGAGUUAGUGGCGGACGGGUGAGUAACACGUGGGAACGUGCCUUUAGGUUCGGAAUAACUCAGGGAAACUUGUGCUAAUACCGAAUGUGCCCUUCGGGGGAAAGAUUUAUCGCCUUUAGAGCGGCCCGCGUCUGAUUAGCUAGUUGGUGAGGUAAAGGCUCACCAAGGCGACGAUCAGUAGCUGGUCUGAGAGGAUGAUCAGCCACAUUGGGACUGAGACACGGCCCAAACUCCUACGGGAGGCAGCAGUGGGGAAUCUUGCGCAAUGGGCGAAAGCCUGACGCAGCCAUGCCGCGUGAAUGAUGAAGGUCUUAGGAUUGUAAAAUUCUUUCACCGGGGACGAUAAUGACGGUACCCGGAGAAGAAGCCCCGGCUAACUUCGUGCCAGCAGCCGCGGUAAUACGAAGGGGGCUAGCGUUGCUCGGAAUUACUGGGCGUAAAGGGAGCGUAGGCGGACAUUUAAGUCAGGGGUGAAAUCCCGGGGCUCAACCUCGGAAUUGCCUUUGAUACUGGGUGUCUUGAGUAUGAGAGAGGUGUGUGGAACUCCGAGUGUAGAGGUGAAAUUCGUAGAUAUUCGGAAGAACACCAGUGGCGAAGGCGACACACUGGCUCAUUACUGACGCUGAGGCUCGAAAGCGUGGGGAGCAAACAGGAUUAGAUACCCUGGUAGUCCACGCCGUAAACGAUGAUUGCUAGUUGUCGGGAUGCAUGCAUUUCGGUGAC